rnacentral:rRNA from 1 species
UCAGGACGAACGCUGGCGGCGUGCUUAACACAUGCAAGUCGAGCGAUGAAGCUUCUUCGGGAGUGGAUUAGCGGCGGACGGGUGAGUAACACGUGGGUAACCUGCCUCAUAGAGGGGAAUAGCCUUCCGAAAGGAAGAUUAAUACCGCAUAAGAUUGUAAUAUCGCAUGAUAUAGCAAUUAAAGGAGCAAUCCGCUAUGAGAUGGACCCGCGUCGCAUUAGCUAGUUGGUGAGGUAACGGCUCACCAAGGCGACGAUGCGUAGCCGACCUGAGAGGGUGAUCGGCCACAUUGGGACUGAGACACGGCCCAGACUCCUACGGGAGGCAGCAGUGGGGAAUAUUGCACAAUGGGGGAAACCCUGAUGCAGCAAACCGCCGCGUGAGUGAUGACGGUCUUCGGAUUGUAAAGCUCUGUCUUCAGGGACGAUAAUGACGGUACCUGAGGAGGAAGCCACGGCUAACUACGUGCCAGCAGCUGC